rnacentral:rRNA from 1 species
AACCAGACUCCUACGGGAGGCAGCAGUGGGGGAUAUUGCACAAUGGGGGAAACCCUGAUGCAGCGACACCGCGUGGGUGAGGAAGCGCUUCGGCGUGUAAAGCCCUAUCAGUGGGGAAGAAAAAGGACGGUACCCAAAGAAGAAGCACCGGCUAACUACGUGCCAGCAGCCGCGGUAAUACGUAGGGGGCAAGCGUUAUCCGGAUUUACUGGGUGUAAAGGGAGCGUAGACGGCGAUGCAAGCCAGAUGUGAAAGCCCGGGGCUCAACCCCGGGACUGCAUUUGGAACUGUGUGGCUGGAGUGUCGGAGAGGCAGGCGGAAUUCCUAGUGUAGCGGUGAAAUGCGUAGAUAUUAGGAGGAACACCAGUGGCGAAGGCGGCCUGCUGGACGAUGACUGACGUUGAGGCUCGAAAGCGUGGGGAGCAAACAGGAUUAGAUACCCUCGUAA